rnacentral:lncRNA from 1 species
GGCGGGGCUUAUCUCAUACACGGUUAGUAGUGGAGCUACGUCCCUUUAUAUUCCAUAUUAGGUAAGAAGGGGGCUGGGCUUAUUCCAUACACGUUUAGUAAUGGUGUUAUGUCCCUUUAUAAAAACAAAACGGUACUGAGAAAAAAAAUUAAAAGUUCCAACAGACGAAGAAAUUGAUGAUUAAGAUUGAAAUAAAUUCAUAAAACACAUUUAAACCUUACAAGUCG